CUUUCAACGAAGGAGACAGACAUUUCCCUGGCCUUUCUGAAGAGCGCUUUUUGGAGAGACAAACCUGUUGCUCAGGGGCUGAGCAUUCCCGUGUGUUCUCCCUGUACUUCACCUAAAAAUAUGCCUGUUUUCCACACUGUGCACACCCGGGGGUGGGUGCUGGGCAUACUCCACCUGCUUGUUUGCCUCCCGUUUUCUCAUCAGGGAGUAAACACAGUAAACCUAACGCUCCAGGGGAAGGAAAAAACAAAUCAUUCAGGGCCCAUCUCAGGUGACUGAUGAAUGCGGCACCGUUUUGAACGGGUACCUAAUCUGGUCCAGAUAUGCCUGCUGGGGCUGCAAGAACCAAGACACGUUCAAGCACGUUUGCUCCGGCAAGCUUGGGCGAGCAGGUCAAGACCUCAGAGUUUUAGAAAGCAGGGGCGAAGUUUUCAAGCACGAUGGGAACACCUGUAGGUGCAGGUGCCUGAGGGUCGGCCGACCACCUCGCAUCUGAGGCUGGAUCCGCACACGGAGAACGACAACUGCUCACAGGGACGUGCGUCCGGAGGAAAGUUGCGAAUGAGGGAGGAGAAGGAGCCAGUCUGGAAGGGAGGCUGACAAGUUUCAUUUUUAAAAAUUGAUCUGCACUUGGAUAUCUCUGGAGAUGCCAGUAAGGUUGUUGGGUACAGAGGUCUGCAGCUCAGAGACCAGCAGGCAUCCUGAACAAGACAGAUCCAGGCAGACGGAAUGGCCUGUAGGAGAACUUGGCAGAGGGCACAACCAAGAAGAGUUCAAAGGCGCUGGCCAGUUCCAUGCGACUGCAUGGGGUCAUGGGAGAAGAGAUACACUUAAACCAGGGUCCCACAGGCUCAAUGGGUCUCCUUCCAAAAUCAGCUUCCAAUGAGCCCUCAGAUUCUCCAAAUACUGGGCAGCUGGAUUUCCCAGACACCUUCUGCAAUCUGCUGACAUCUAAUAUACCUGUAGACUGUUCUCCUGCUGACAAGGUUGUUCUUGCUCUUAUCCUAUAAAGAAGAGAGGUGGCAGAGAGUUGGAGGGGAGGGCCUCCUUCCCUGGCAUGUCCAUCCGAGGGUCUCCAAGAACAUCCUGGCUGUGGCCCACACCUUUCUGUGUGGUUAGGAGGAGUAUCGGAUGCCUUCUCUUUCCAACCUUGGCUUAGGUGUCCGAGUUUGGAUGAGAAAUUAUAUGGGCUCCGCAUUCAUCUCCAACCUAUCAACAGCUGCUGAUAACUCCUUCUCUGAAGUGUUCUCACCUCACCUAGCCCUUUUUCUCCAGUCUCAAGGCUGCCAUCCCUGUUCAAGCUUCAGUGCCUGUCAUCCAUCUGAACUGCAUCAGCCUCAUAUCUCCUCUUCCAAUCCUCCCUGUACACCUCUCCUUUAAAACAGUGCUUUCAACCUGUAGCAUCCACCCCCAAGCGCUUACAACGAUGCCCAGUUUCCUAGAACUGCUACACCUAAAAGAAAUCACCAGCCGCCUUCUAAAGCUGGUUCAUCCGACAAAUCUCUUUCUAAAAGCUGCAUUUCUCACUGCUCCCAAAUGUGAACACUCGGCUAUUGUCAAACUAGCUCAUCUCUGAGUUCACUCUCCAAGCAAACUUUCACAUCCAUGCUGUUGCUCAUGCUAUACUAUCUUUCCUUGUCUUUUCAACCUUCUGGAAGCCCAGAUCUUCUAUCUGCAGUUCAGCUUGCUCUUCUUGCAUGAACCCUAAAUCAAGUGGAAAAAGCAUGGGUUUCUUAGUCAUGAGGAUCUGAAUUUGACCCUAGAUCCAUCACUACCCACUGUAUUUCACUGAUUAUAAGACAUACACAUUUUUUUUCACUUUUAACAUACCUGGAAAUGGAAUGUACUUUAGAAUCUUAAGCAUCUUAGAUUCAACAAAGCAUAGUAGCCUGUGACUUUGUGUUAUGUGACACAGACUCUCUGGGUCUCGGUGACCUCGUCUUUAAAACAAUUAACAUUUAACCCUCGAGACUGCUGUGGGAAUUACUUGGAAUAACCGCAGUGGGAGACCCAGUGGCAGAAUAUCUCUGUGAGAAUUUGUACCCUGAACCCAAGCAUUUUAUAAUGACUUUCUCUUGAGAAGACCUGGGCCACAUGGAAAAACUGUUGCAACUGAUACCAAAGUUUGUGUCAUCGAAUUUCAAAACAAUUCUCUGCAGUGUACAAAGCCAGAAAGAGAAACCAGCCUCAUUCAUGGGUGGUUUAACCACAGCUCUCUGCAGAGAACUCUGUUCAGAGGAAAUAGCUAAAGGGGCCAUUUCUCCAGGGGUCAUGAGCCAAGUAGCUUUCUGUUGGAAAAAUGUUGUUUGAUGGACAAAGCUACAAAAGCAGCUUUGUCCUUAAUUCUUCAGUAAAAAAUCUUCUAAAGCUGAUUUUAUGUUAAAAGUCCACAGGUAGGUUUCUGAAGAAUUGGGUCACAGGUGCAUGUUUUAAUAACAUCCAGUUGGACAAUUUCCAUCUUCUUUCUCUAUAAAAGUCUGCCCACUCCAAGAAGGCACUAGCAGCCAGAUGCCUGAGGUACAAUCAAGCCGACUGGCAAGGGAAUCUUUCCUUCCACCUCCCUUUGCCGCUCCAGUGGGUGAGAGUCCCAGCUCCAAACUCAG
rnacentral:lncRNA from 1 species